CCUACGGGUGGCAGCAGUGAGGAAUAUUGGUCAAUGGGCGGAAGCCUGAACCAGCCAAGUCGCGUGAGGGAAUAAGGCCCUACGGGUCGUAAACCUCUUUUACCGGGGAGCAAGGGCGGGGACGUGUCCCGGCCCGGAGAGUACCCGGAGAAAAAGCAUCGGCUAACUCCCGGCCAGCCGCCGCGGUAAUACGGAGGAUGCGGGCGUUAUCCGGAUUUAUUGGGUUUAAAGGGUGCGUAGGCGGGCGUUUUAGUUAGCGGGAAAAAUUCGGGGCUCAACCGCGUACGGCCGUUGAAACUGGGGGCCUUGAGUGGGCGCGAAGAAGGCGGAAUGCGUGGUGUAGCGGUGAAAUGCAUAGAUAUCACGCAGAACCCCGAUUGCGAAGGCAGCCUUCCGGCGCCCAACUGACGCUGAGGCGCGAAAGUGCGGGGAUCGAACAGGAUUAGAUACCCGUGUAGUC
rnacentral:rRNA from 1 species